ensembl:lncRNA PURPL p53 upregulated regulator of p53 levels
CUCUUGAGCUCUUGUGGUGACCUGGGAAUCAAUGUGUGAGGUGGUGCUAUGUAGCAGGAACCCCUCUUGCUUUGCAAAUAGUUUUUUGUUUGUUUUCCUUUUUGCCCAAUAGAGCCCUGCUCUACUGACCCUUCAAUGUGCCCGUGUGCCUAAAUAUUCCUGGUCGUGUGAAAAGAACCCAGGUAUUAGCUGAACUAAGGAGCACAAUUCUGCAACAUUUUGGCACCCAAACACGGGGCUUGAGAAAUGAAUGCAAUUGGAGAAACUGGUUGUUUUACCAGGCGUUGAUUGGAAAUGUGUGCUUCCCUUUAAGCAGUCAAGCUCAACUUGCAGAACUGAUGGGAACCCCUUGGGAAAACUGGCCUCAAAUGUUUGUCUACACAGUCCACAUACAGGGUUCUUAACCUGCGAUGAGGGAAACUUCCCAGGGCUUGUCUGGGUAUGCCCACAGUGGACUGGAGCCCAAAAUGCACACUGGAGGAAGUGGAUGGAGCCACGUGGAUGUCAUGCCUUAUGCAGGGGAGGAGCCUGCUCUCUUCAGCUCCUGUGGUAAUGUGGGAAUCGAUCUGUGAGAUUCCAUGAACUCCAAGUUAAGAACACAUGAUCUGGAUGUUUGACAAAAUACCUUCAGCAGGAAUAAUGAAAGCCCUGACAUUUCUGUGUGCAUAAAAACUGGAAAACUUUAAAAGUAAUAAAUCACCAAGUCUUUAUAAAAAUCGAUGAGUUAGGAAACACUUUCUGAAAAUGUCAGAACUCUUGAAAACAUGGAUGAGGAAAAGCAUAAGUACUGCUUUAUGCUUUUCUUAUGAAUUUUAAAAGAUGUAAUUUAAAGGUACUUUAAAGUGAUAUUUGUGCCCUUGUAACUGAUUCAAAGUAGACUGCUAAGGACAAUAAGUAAUAAGAGUCUACAAAUAUCAGUAAAUUAUGAGAAAAAACGGUCUAAUGGUACUUAAAAUUGCAUUGUGAUUUAUUAAAUAACAUUGAACAGCUCCACCUGUAACAUUAAGAUUCCAUUUGAGCAUAUAGAAAAUAUAUUUAUCGCAACCUGAAGUGAUUUGGAAAGUAUGCUGGGAAGAAAAUAUAUUUACAAAUUAGUCUCAGAGGGUAGGUAUCCUGUAGCCAGAUGGAAUAAGAAGAGAGGGAAGGGAGAUUUUGUUCAAAGGGGGAGCAUAAGCUAAGGAAUAAAGCCACAAACAAUGAUUAAAUUAGGUAAAGUGCAAUUAGCUGAAUAUUGCAUAAGCAUACAUAUGGGAAGAAGUGGAAAAAGGAGUGACAAUAUGAAGCUAAAGGGUUUGAAGUGUUCAAGAUAAUACUAGGCUUCCUAGCCUAUUCCGAGACAUCUUGUUUUAGAGUGCAAUAGAUAAGAACUCUAAGGAUGAAAGUAGGAGACAUGCAUUCUAGUCUACGUUUUGGUUAAUGGACUGAAAGUGAAAGAUGGACUGAAAUUGGGGGAUGGAAUAAAAAUGUGAUAGAAUAGAAAAUAGAAAAAGCAAUUAGCCUAAUGUCAUUGAUACUUAGAGAAAAUAUGGAAAAUAGUAAAUUAGUGAUAUAUAUCUUUUCUAAUUCACCAGGGUGAGUGAACAAAGGAAAUCGGAUUUAAAAGUAUUCAUGACAUAGAUGCAAUAAGGUUUCUCAGUCAGACAUAGCAAAUUGAGGGAAGGGAAGAUUUAGAGGAUUGGAAAAUGUCUUGCUUGUAGACUAAUAGGAUAUCAAUAAGCCAUAUGAGCAAUAAUUUGAAAUAGUUUUUGUAAAGUAUCAUGAAGGUAAACCCUGUUUAGAACAAAUUAGAUUUGAAGUACUUGUGACAAAUGCAAUUGACAAUGCCUUUAUGCAGCUGGAAAAUUGUUGCUUAGCAGAAAAGCUUGUGCUGGACAAAUAGAUGUCCAAAUUGAAUAGAUGUUUUCUUAAGCUGAACUAAUUGAGACAAAUAUCCUUAUUAAAUCAAAAAAUUAAAAAUUGAAAUAACUUACCUAUGAUAGGGUAAAUAAUGUUAUUAAUAUACACAAGAAAUAUGUGAUGUAUAUGUGUAUGUACAUAUGUAUACAUAGUAAUAAUACAUAGUGCUAUUUUUAAAUGAUAUUUUACAUAGUGCUUUUUUAAAUGAUUUUUCAAUCAUCGUUGUUGGUCUGUGUUAUUUUAAUCAUCAAAGCUGAUUGAUUUCUGUUUUUGUGUUUUUUUUUGUUUUUUUUGAGGUGGAGUCUCACUCUGUCACCCAUGGUGGAGUACAGUAGUGCGGUCUUAGCUCACUACAAACUCCACUUCCCUGAUUCAAGUAAUUCUUGUGCCUCAGCCUCUCGAGUAGCUUGGAUUGCAGGCAUGCACCACCACGAGCUGCUAAAUUUUUUGUAUUUUUUGUAGAGGGGUUUUGCCAUGUUGGCCAAGCUGGUCUCAAACUCCUGACCUCAAGUGAUCCGCCCUGGCUUCCCAAGCCCAGCUGAUUCCUGUUUAAAUAAAAACUUACAAAGAUCUUCCCACAAGUACUUUAUCUUACAAUUUACUGAACAAUAGAGGCAGUGAAGAUGUUUUUCAGAAAGCAAUUGUGAUCCUGACAUUUUCUUCUUAUAAUCCUGUGCUUUCCUCAUUUUUUUAUAUUAAAAGUAAUAGUUCUUGUGAUGGCAACUAGGAUUUGUAACAACAUGUACCCUCAUUUCCUGCAUGACCUUUUUUAUGUCACUUCUUCACAUGCAAAGUAUACUCCCUCAGUGUCAUUACAUUAUUUGAUUUUUGCCCUUUCCCUCACCUUUCCAUGUGUUUAUUUGCCUAUGCCCAUCUCCUAGUCACAUUUUAUCUAGUUAACGCCAACUUGACUUUCAAUGCUGUUCAAGAUUUACCUCAAUCUCAAGUGUUUUCUCUUUAUAUUCCAUACACGCUUAGCUUGGCUGCCAAUCCUCUUGGCUGCCAAAGAAUCCCAAAUUAUCUCUUUCAAAAAUACAAGAAAUAAAGGAUGGAGGAUAGGAAGGAGGGUGGUCAGGAAAGAACAAAGAAAGGAGGGGAGAGGAAAAAAAGAGAGAAAGAAAGAGAAUUAAAGUUAAGGAGGAAGAAUUUCACACUGAAUUAAAAUUGAUAAUAUUCAGGAAUGAUUUUAUAGUAGGCAUACAUUGAUAAAUAUUAGUUAAAUUAAUGAAUUAUUCCAAAAGAUCAUGAUUUGUAAAAAUUACCCUGAAGCACUUUAGGAAUAUUACAUUGAAAUAGGUAUGCAAUUUCUAAAGAAACUGGACUGCAAAAAUAGCCAUUGUGUGUACCUGUGGACCAGAAUAUUAUAUUUUGCUUAAGUUUGAAGUGUUAAAGUGCCCAACGUGCUCUUAUUUUAACCUAGCAAAUUUUCAGCAGAACUUAAGCUCAUAUAGUAUUUGAUUUUUUCAUUUCUCACAACUGUUGGAAUUCUGUUUUAUUGAAAAUUAUACAAUAAAAUGUUAAAAAAUCUUUGUUCCUGCAGUUAUGCAAUCUUAUGCCAAAGUCAAUAAAUUAUUAAAUUAAAAUCAAACCCACUAAGCCUAACAAUUUGAGAAAAUGAUUAUUAAAACAUAUACCAUUUAGAAGGGCAAUGCCUUUUUAAUAUUAUAGUGAAGACAACCCUAUCAAUUAUUUAAUACACCAAGAAUACAAGGAUAUAAAAUCUUUUUCUCUCAUAUAUCACAUUAUCUGAUGUAUUUAGCUGUGAUGACAUUCCAGAAAACAUCACUUUUUAAAAUUUCUAAGAUUUUAUUAUGUUGCUAGCAAAUCGAUUUUUUUCAAGUACUGUAACAAAAUCCCUAAAUGGGCUUUAUGAGAACUAUUUUCAGUGUGAUAUUAAUCAUAUUUUAUUUAUCAUCCAUACAUAGAUGGUAGCUUAUCUGGUAUUCCUAGUGUUUGAAGUGAAGAGUAACACACACACACAUCCCAAUACCAAUUUAAUUGAUAAAUAUAUAAUCAUUUGUUUUCAAAUAUUUAUGUUGAUACUUGCUUGUGUACUUACUUGUAAUGUAGGUCUGUAAAAGGGACUGUUUUCUUUCUGUGAAACUGAAGCUUAAAGCAGUGCUUGUCACAAAUUCAAAAUCACCUUGCUUUGUCAACAUUUUCAGAUGUUUUUGGCUCAGUCUGAUGACAGCAUCAGUGCAGUAAAGGGAUCUUAUUGAAAUGUUUUAACUAAAGAUAAAAUGCCACCACUAGGAGAAAAAUAAAAUCAAGGAAAUAAACAGAAAAUCAAUAAAUGUGAAAUGUAUUAUAAAUUUAUAUAAUAACAAUGUUGUAUGCUAUAAACAUCUCACUUUGUAAAAUUAACAAGAAUUCAGUGAGGCAGAUCAUUUUCUAUGUGUUCAGAAGUCAAGUCUUUGAUGGCUAAUUUUUAUAUUACUUCAUUACAAUAUCUCUACUGAAGCAAAAUAAUUGCAAAUCUUUUUGAAUGAAAUCAAUUUAUCUUUAAUUUUAGAUAAUAUUUGGUAUAGUUGGCAUAGUUUUGUCACAAAGCAUAGCUAACAUCAAUGUAGCCUUACGACUUCAAAUGUCUUUAUAGAUCUUUUCUGAAAUUGCAAAAUUUUACUUUGAAAUUAUUGUUAAUAUUUACGUUGCACAACCACAAAUGUAGAAAUAAAAUUAUAAAGUCUCCAGAUAAUGUUUUAUUUUAACCACACAUAUGUUGUGAUAGUUUCAAAUAAAUGAAAGCUCUACUGA